UAAGCUUUCUAAAGUCAUUACAAGGAGGAUUUGAGAUUGUUAUUGCUACAUAACAAUCAAGGUAAUAUCUUAAACCCAUUGUUAUGUUAAUAUUGAUUAUCAUAUGCUAGAUCUAGGGUUUAAAGUCUUGGAUGAAUUGCAUGUACAAUAGAGNAGAUCUAGGGUUUAAAGUCUUCGAUGAAUUUCAUGUACAAUAGAGAAACCUAGAUCCAAUCAUUAGGGUUUGUAUGAGCACAUAGGAUGUUCUUAUGGCUAAAACUCAUCAGUGGUAUCAGAGCUUGAUUGGUUUCUAUUGUAUUGAUGCCUUGUUUGUUUGUUUAAGCUGUAAAAUCGAUUUUUUGGCCCCCUGUCUGAUGAACUCGGCGAGUUCCACUGUGGACUCGGCGAGUAGCUCCAACCCGGCGAGUUCGAGCGUCAGAAGGAGGUAGUUUCGGGAUUUUUACCUAUUUUGACUUAGGAUAAUUGCCAUAAUUGUUUAAAAUUAAUAAAAUUCGAAUUUUAUUGAUUCCUUAUGAUUAUCCUUGUCAAAAUAAAAGAUUUUAGUCAUCUAAUUAGAUAAUUGUUACCUUAUUUGUUAAAUGUUAAAUUAUGGAAAUUAUUUGAUCAUUGUCUUGCAAGAAUUUGAACUAGAUCUAAUUAGAUAACCACCAAUUAAUAGUUAAUUGCCUUAUUUGAAUUAUGUGAUCUAGAAUAUUCUUGACAAAGUUUGGAAAAGUUUCAAAAUAAUCCCUUUAGGUUUUAUAGUUUAAAUUAGAACUUGAAAGUUUUGGUUUUGAAAUUUAAAUAAGUUAAACCCUAAUGUUUUGAAAUGUUUCAAAACUUGCCCUCAAGUUUUGGAAUUUAAAAGUUGAUUAAAAGUUUAAUUUAGAAAUGUUAAAUUCUAAAACCCUAGUAUAGUUUUGAAAAGUUCAAAUCACACCCUUAUGGUUUUAUUAAUUAAUUAAAGUGUAUAAUUAAAAGAGAUUUAGUAAAUCCAUAAAGUUUUGGUUUACAAUUUAAUUAAAUUAAAAGUAUAAUUAUUAAAUUUGACCACCUAGUAUUUUAAAAGUGUAAAAUACACCCUAUACUAUAUAUAACAUUAAAAGUCUAACAUUAUAUAUAUGUAUGAGUAAAAGUCAGUCUUACCGUUAGUAGGCCUCAUUCACGAAGCUGGUCUAUAAGGGGUGUUUAAGGAAAUUGCCUAUAAAAUGGCGAUUGAAUGGGUAUCCACUCUUACCCACCGCACUCUUGACUAGUGGAGGGUCGUUAGCCGAACGGGUAGGAUAGGACAGAAACCUUCCAUUAUAAGUAUAAUGAAGUACAAAAGUAACUAAAUGCUUUUUCAAAAUUCCCAAUCUUAGUUACUUUAGGCAAAAGUGAAUUGAUGUAAUUCCAUGAAAUUACACUUUGUAUCCUUGCGAAGACGUUAGUGAAGCGUGUGUGGAUAACCGACACACUAAAUGGUUCUAAGCAAAGGUAGCAAAGGGUGACUCAAUGUUUG
rnacentral:lncRNA from 1 species